rnacentral:rRNA from 1 species
GACGAACGCUGGCGGCGCGCCUAACACAUGCAAGUCGAACGAGCGAGAGGAGGUUUCCUUUCUCAAGCGAGUGGCGAACGGGUGAGUAACGCGUGAGCAACCUGCCUCAAAGAUGGGGACAACAGUUGGAAACGACUGCUAAUACCGCAUAAGCCCACGACCCGGCAUCGGGUAGAGGGAAAAGGAGCAAUCCGCCUUGAGAUGGCCUCGCUUCCGAUUAGCUAGUUGGUGAGGUAAUGGCCCACCAAGGCGACGAUCGGUAGCCGGACUGAGAGGUUGAACGGCCACAUUGGGACUGAGACACGGCCCAGACUCCUACGGGAGGCAGCAGUGGGGAAUAUUGCACAAUGGGGGAAACCCUGAUGCAGCGACGCCGCGUGGAGGAAGAAGGUCUUAGGAUUGUAAACUCCUGUUGUUGAGGAAGAUAAUGACGGUACUCAACAAGGAAGUGACGGCUAACUACGUG